GAAUUCCAUGCUCGCGGCCUAUCAGCUUGUUGGUGGGGUAGUGGCCUACCAAGGCGACGACGGGUAGCCGGCCUGGGAGGGCGACCGGCCACACUGGGACUGAGACACGGCCCAGACUCCUACGGGAGGCAGCAGUGGGGAAUAUUGCGCAAUGGGCGGAAGCCUGACGCAGCGACGCCGCGUGGGGGGUGACGGCCUUCGGGUUGUAAACCUCUUUCAGCAGGGACGAGGUUGACGUGUACCUGCAGAAGAAGCGCCGGCUAACUACGUGCCAGCAGCCGCGGUAAUACGUAGGGCGCAAGCGUUGUCCGGAAUUAUUGGGCGUAAAGAGCUCGUAGGUGGCUGGUCGCGUCUGCCGUGAAAGCCCGCAGCUUAACUGCGGGUCUGCGGUGGAUACGGGCCGGCUAGAGGUAGGUAGGGGCAAGUGGAAUUCCUGGUGUAGCGGUGAAAUGCGCAGAUAUCAGGAGGAACACUGGUGGCGAAGGCGGCUUGCUGGGCCUUACCUGACGCUGAGGAGCGAAAGCGUGGGGAGCGAACAGGAUUAGAUACCCUGGUAGUCCACGCUGUAAACGUUGGGCGCUAGGUGUGGGGAUCUUCCACGAUCUCCGUGCCGGAGCUAACGCAUUAAGCGCCCCGCCUGGGGAGUACG
rnacentral:rRNA from 1 species